AUUGUUUUUCUUUUUGGUAUUUAACAUUAAGCAUUAUUCUCUACAAGUGCCUUAGAUAACCAAAGAAAACACACAAAUCAUACAAUUUGAAUUACUCCAAUAAUAUCACUAUUCCUAAUUUUCCUAAACUCAUAUAAAUCACAUCUCCAAAAGUUCAUCAUAAUCGUUACGAACACAUAAAUCACACCAACUGUAAAUCACCACAAACCACAUUAAUAUAUUAGAGUUCUCCCCACCGCUAACUCGGUGCCAACGGUCUCGAUUCCUUUUUGAGACUCAAGGAGCUAACUACAUAAACAUGAAUAUUUAUAACAAUUUGUUCACCAUAAAACUAAUCCAAACACAACAUAAUUCCUAAAAUUAAAUAUUUCUCACACACUAAACUUUUAAAAUCAAAUAAUCUAUAUUAUUUACUUAAACUAAAUAAAACGAAUAUUGUCCAAAUUUCACAUUCCCAUACUCGACUCUUAAAGCACCGAAAUAUUUGAGUUAAUAAAAUACUAUAAACUUAUUUUUUUUUAAACUCAAUCAAAGAGUAAUUAAAAGAGUAACAUUUUAAACUCUAAUCAUUUUUAAUUUCAAUCUAUCUUUUUGCUCAAACUCUUUAACUUAGUUAAAAGUUGAACUUUUUCACAACUUUAACAACUCUAAAUUUUUCGUAAAAUUUCAACUUCAGUUCAAACUCAUUUAUUUGAAAAUAACUCUUUACGUUACUCAAACACAUCAAAUUUAAUCACUACAUAUAUAAAUCACAUUAAAUUUAUUUUCUACAAAUUCACACAUCAAAUUUCUUUUCCACAAAAUCACAAAUAAUGUUCUAAAUGCAAACUAAAAAUUUGGAAGGAGCUCUUACAUUAACGUUAGCUCUAACACGCGAUUACGGUACCGUAAUUAAUUCCGGUAAAAUAUAAGUUCGUGACUUCGCGUCGAAAAUUAGAUCACUAACACCGCAGCGUGGCGAUGAGCAACUUUCUCUUCUGUCACUUCUCGAAUGGAAGCUUAGAUCUAGUAAAUAAAUGGGN
rnacentral:lncRNA from 1 species